rnacentral:rRNA from 1 species
GAUGAACGCUAGCGGCAGGCUUAAUACGUGCAAGUCGAACGGUAAGGUCUCUUCGGAGAUACACGAGUGGCGCACGGGUGCGUAACGCGUACGCAACCUACCUUUAACUGGGAAAUAGCCCCGAGAAAUCGGGAUUAAUGUCCCAUAUUAUUCUUUGAAUACCUAUUCGAGGAAUGAAAGCUCCGGCGGUUAUUGAUGGGCAUGCGUGACAUUAGCUAGUUGGUGAGGUAACGGCUCACCAAGGCAACGAUGUCUAGGGGUCCUGAGAGGGUUAACCCCCACACUGGUACUGAGACACGGACCAGACUCCUACGGGAGGCAGCAGUAAGGAAUAUUGGGCAAUGGACGCAAGUCUGACCCAGCCAUGCCGCGUGAAGGAUGAAUGUCCUAUGGAUUGUAAACUUCUAUUAUGCAGGAAAAAUAUCCCGGUCGUGAACCGGGACUGAUGGUACUGUAUGAAUAAGCAUCGGCUAGCUCCGUGCCAGCCGCCGCAGUAA